CUUUGAGGAAGAUUUACAUCUUUAUGCUUCAUUUCUGCUUCAUUCACGCUGCGGUCUGCGUUUAGGUUUGGCAACAUCUGUACCAUGGUUUACAAACAACUUGCAUUCUCUCUUCUGAUCUAUGAUGAAUCUUCUGUAUCGUUCACUUCUCAAUUCUUGUUCAGGUUUUCUCUAUUGAUUUGUUGCCUGCAUUUUUACAUAAAAUUUUUAUAUAUUUUCAUUAAGUGUAAUUUGCAUUUAGUUAUAAAUAUGAGUGAGGAGCAACGACCAUUUGUUCCGAAAACUGCGAUGGACUUUCAAAAAAUAAAACUUGAAAGAUUGAUGGCCAAUCCGACCAAGCCUAUUGUGAUUCCUGAAAUGUCCAAGGAGAAAAAGGGUUUAUCUGUUCCAGAAUUUGUUCGAAAUGUUAUGGGAUCAAGUGCUGGUGCUGGAAGCGGAGAAUUUCACGUGUAUAGGCAUUUGAGAAGAAAAGAAUAUACUCGACAGAAAGUUAUCGAUGAGAAAGCUAAAAAGGAAAAACUAGAUGAGGAAUAUCGCCAACGCCUCGAAGAGAACAAAAGAAAAAUAGACGAAAAAACUGCAAAAAGACGAGCUAAAAGGUUAAAGAAAAAGCAAAAGCUGAAGAAUAAGCUUUCAAAAAAACUUUUGAAAUCACCGAUCAAAAAUGAAAUAAAAAAUUCCUCAAGUUCUGAAGAUGAAUGUUCUGAAAAGGGUUCUGAUCCAUCUGCUGUUUGCAAUGACCCAGAAAAAAUGUCUGAGGGCAGUUCACCUUUAGCAGAUGAUAUUGUGGAUAAUGUUUCUAAUACAGAAGUUGAUGUGCUAUGAAUUGAAGUAUCUCCAAGAAGUAUUUUCUUUCAAAGUUUUGUAUCUAGAUAUUUACCUAAUGUCUUAAGUAGUAGAAUUCUAUUUUAUUUUAAUCGGUAUAGUUUUUUUGAAAACUGCAAUAGAUUUUCAUUUAAAAACUGCUUACAGAUAAGUCAUAUUUUACAUUUUAUUAUCAACAGAAACUGCUCUUUUAGAUUCUGAAGCAUAAAAAUUGAAUUCUUAUUUAAAGCACAAUCUGAAAAACGAAGAACUUUAAAAAGACAGAACUUGACUAAUUGCGUUUUUGAAUCUUCAAUGUGAUAAACUGGAGUAUUUAAGAUGGCUGGUUAUAAAAAUGCUACUCUAUUUAUUUAUCUUAAUCUGUAUGAACAUAUGUGUAACUGUACAGUUAAUUGUAUAUUAAAAAUGUUCUUAUUUUUGACAUA